rnacentral:rRNA from 1 species
GUAGGGGGCAAGCGUUGUCCGGGAUUUAUUGGGGCGUAAAGAGCUCGUAGGCGGUUGCGUAAGUCGGAUGUGAAAACUCAGGGGCUCAACCCUGAGAUGCCAUUCGAUACUGCGCUGACUAGAGUCCCGGUAGGGGAGCAUGGAAUUCCUGGUGUAGCGGUGAAAUGCGCAGAUAUCAGGAGGAACACCAGUAGCGAAGGCGGUGCUCUGGGCCGGUACUGACGCUGAGGAGCGAAAGCAUGGGUAGCAAACAGGAUUAGAUACCCUGGUAGUCCAUGCCGUAAACGUUGGGCACUAGGUGUGGGACCUACUUAACGGGUUCCGUGCCGUAGCUAACGCAUUAAGUGCCCCGCCUGGGGAGUACGGCCGCAAGGCUA